AUACAGAGGGUGCGAGCGUUAAUCGGAAUUACUGGGCGUAAAGCGCGCGUAGGCGGCUACUUAAGUCAGAUGUGAAAUCCCCGGGCUCAACCUGGGAACUGCAUCUGAUACUGGGUAGCUAGAGUUUUAGAGAGGGAAGUAGAAUUUCAGGUGUAGCGGUGAAAUGCAUAGAGAUCUGAAGGAAUACCAGUGGCGAAGGCGACUUCCUGGCCAAAAACUGACGCUGAGGUGCGAAAGCGUGGGUAGCGAACAGUAUUAGAUACCCUAGUAGUCC
rnacentral:rRNA from 1 species